AUUCAUCCAACAUGAAGUGUUUAGGGCUAUGACUGCAGAAGUUGCCCUUUUUGGAGCUAACAAGGGAAAGAAAAGCUUCUAGCCCAAAUCCAAUCAGGGAACUGAUACAGGGAAGUAGGUUAGAGUUGUUUUGAGUGUUUCCUACCCUGUCUUCAUUUUUAACCCCUGCAGGACAGGGAGCAGAACCAGCAGCACUCACGUCUUUCCAGAUCAGCAGAGAAUUCCCCUAGUCCAGUGGCAACUCGUGACGAAGAGGAGCCAAGAGAUAGUGAUGGUGCACGGCCAGCAAGUCCAGCUAGUCCUCGGAUGAGGGAGAGUGACAACUCUCAGGUGCAGGACAGGGAGCAGAGCCAGCAGUACCCACUUGGCUCCAGAGAAGCAGAAAAUUCAGCUGAGAUACGGGUGACAGACAUUGAAGAGGAACCAAGAGCUAACAAUGAGUAUGUGACUGAUGAAGAGUCUCUCCAAAGUGUAAUUUCUGAUAUAUGGUAGAUGCAGGUUUUUUGCCAAACUAUUGGAUUCUGCUUGACUCUGUGUAAUGGAAUCUGAUUUGAACCAUAGUGGCCUGUCAGGAAGGGAAGUAUUGGAAAAAAAACCCCUACAAACAAAGCAAAAUCCUGGAGAAACCUUUCUUCUCCAUUCAGGAAAUCAUUGUUGAAUGUUUCUUACAUUACGGUUUGCACUGAAAGGCUUGCAGUACAUAAAAGCUCUUGCACUGACCGUGUUUCUGAGCUGGGAUGUUGCUUAAUCAGAAUAAGGGGUUGUUUCUAUUUUUGCAAUGUCUUGGAAGCCCUCUUUGCACUGUGAAAUUGACAGCUGCAUGUUCUUCUAGUUCUAUUAACUCUGAUGAAUGGCCAGACCGUUUUGAGAGUCCCCCGACAUGGCAGGAUGCCAUUACAGAUGUAAGCAUCAUGUUCUUAUCACAUGUUCUUGUCCUUUCUGCUUUGUGGGGGGGAGGAGACAGAGGGGGAGCUGCACAACUCAGUUGUCCUAGGUGGGAUGCCACGGGCAGCUGACUGGAAGUCCAGCCCUUGCUGGGAAGCUCCAAUUUGCCCAUCCCUCCAAGUCCUUUCUUGGUGGUGUCCAUAGAGGGAGAAGCCUUUGUCAGGAUAGCACUGGCAGAUCUGUGUGUUCCUUGUAGUUCUAGUAUUGACUGACAGACUGCAGAUACCCCAAAUCCAAUUUGCUGGUGCCAAUAGAGCAGCAAACCUUUUUGCCCCAAAUUUCUGUGGUUGCCGUUUCUGUUUCUCAGCAGCGGUUCAUCCAACAUGAAGUGUUUAGGGCUAGCAAGGGAAAGAAAAGGUUCUAGCCCAAAUCUAUUCAGGAAACAUAAACAGGGAGGCAGGAUGGAGUGGCUUCAAGCGAUUCCUACUCUGUCUACAUUUUUACCCCACUGCAGGACUGGGAAAGGAGCCAGCAGUACUCACUUCGUUCCAGGUCAACAGAGAAUUCACUGGCAAGCAACCUCCAACAGGAACCACGAGAUAUUGAAUUGUACGUGACAGAUAUAGAGUCUCUCCAAAGUGUAAUUUCUGAUGUACGGUAGACGGAGGUUCCUGCCAAUCUUUUGGGUUCUACUUGAUUCUGUUUGGAGAAUUCUGACUUGAAACAUAGUCUGGAACAGAAGUAACAACAACAAAAACAACAACAACAAAAAAACCACCAAAACAAAACCAACCAAACAAACAAAAAAACCAAACCAAAAAAACCCCGAAAACCAAACCAACUUAAAACCAGUAAAAUCCAGGAGAAACAUUUCCUCUCUGUCAGGAAGUCAUUAUUAAAUGUUUCUUACAUUAUGGAUUGUGAUACACUGAAAUGCUUGCAGUACAUAAAAGCUCUUGCACUUGAUUGUGUUUCUGGGCUGGGAUGUUGCUAAAUCAGAACAAGGGGUUAUUUAAAUUUCUUCAAUUAUAUGUUCUGUUGGUAGCCCUUUGUGCUCUGUGAAAUUGACCAGCUGCAUGUUUUUCUGGUUCUGUUCCCUCUAGUGAACCACUAAGAAGUUUGGUUAGUCCUCCAAAUUGGGAGGAUGACAAUGCAGAGGUGAGGAUCCACAUAUUGUUGUAAUUUCUGGUUUGUGGGAGGGAAAGGGGCUAAAGGGGAACUGCACAACUCAGAUGUUUGAGGUGGGAUGCUACGGGCAGCAGGCUGGAAGCACAGCCCUUGCUGGGAAGCUCCAACUUGCCCAUCCCUCCAAGCUCCUCCUUGGUGGUAUCCAUAGAGAGAGAAGCCCCUUCCAGGAUGACCCUGGCAGAUCUGUGUGUCCUUUGUAGUUCUAGCGUUGAGUGACAUAUUGCACAUACUCCAAGUCCAGUUUCCUGGGUGCCAAUAGAGCAGCAAACUGGAAUUCUUUACUCCCAAAUUUCUGUUGUGACUUCCUUUCUUCAGCAGCUGUACAGCUAACAUGAAGUGUUAAGGUUCUCAUAGCAGAAUUUGCCAGUUUUGGGGAGAACAAGGGAAAGAAACAGCUCCAGGUCAAAUCUAAAUAGGGAACAGGAACAGGGGACCAGGGAGGAGGGUGUUCAGGGGGUUCCUAAGCUGCCUCUAUUUCUACCCUGUUGCGGCAAUGAGAGCAGAAUCAGCAGCACCCACUUCUUUGUUAUUCAGGGCAGCAGCUCUUUGUGCUACUGCUUUGAAUGCUCUUAACCAAACAUAGAGGGUGAUACCCUACCCUUCCCCAACUCCCCUGCUGUAACUGCUUUCUGAGCUGAGGUUUGAGGGCAGCACCAGGGGGGAUCACCAAAUCUAAUUGUAUCUUCCUUUUCUCUCCCUUCCCAUGUGCAUCGAUUGAAGUUUCCUGAAGGUGAGGUGAUGUUUUACAGUUGGUAAUGGACUUUUAUCUAAAAUGUGAUAGUUAUUUUUGUUGUUCUUUUCCAAGAAAGUCGAGCAGCAGGGAUUGAAACUUCUUUUCAGCAAAAGGCAAAGCACAGGGCUAAAGCCUCUGGCCAGUGUCUUAGAGAAUGGAUGCGAUGUGUGUGUGAUGGCCUCUGUCAGUCCCAGUGGGAAAUCCCUGCAAGAAAAGUGGUAGCUGAACACUUAUGCUGAAGGAACUUUAAUGUGGUAAUGCCUCCUGCAAUUUUAAUUGAUUAGCGAUUGGUUAGUGUGACAUGGACCCUGGAGUUGCAGAGGUCAUCGUUGCCUGGGGUUUCUGAGAGUUAAGGAGCAAACAGCAGUUCUUGACCCUUUGGCUGUUACAGACCAGGCCAUUAGAAAUGGUUCUCCCAGUAACUUGGUCAAUGUGUGGUCCACAAAAAUUGGAUUUGUUACUGGGGUGCAACAGGUAAAUGAUGAGCCACUUGAGAGAGACAUUGGUUGCUUGUUUCAGUGUUUCACCAGUCUGGGCGCUCAGUGGUAUUUCACAAAUCAGACACACCCACUUCCAAAAGAACUUCUAUUAUUUAUAAAUUUAAACCAAGAAAGAAAUUAGCAUUAAGUGGUUGCAAGUGACAUGGUUAUCUUCUUAGCCAGUAUUUUGUCUUCUUUUGGUUAGUGAUUGUCUCUCUUCUCACUGUAAUUAGUCCACUGAGUGCAUUGCUCAGUCUGCCUCUUCUUUUGGGCUGGGGAGGUUCUUGAGUUGCCGCUCCACGAGUCGGUGGUCGCAAUCUCCCCCUGCAGGAAUUACUUUUUACCAGUCAGAGCUGAUUUCAGGACAGUUGGGUUUCUUAGUUCCUUAUCCUGGGAGUUGUUCCAGAUUUCCAUGGGGCCCCUCAAUUCUGCAUUCUUUGUGUCCACUCUCAGUGGGCAUCCUUCUCUCCAAACUUUGUUAAGCCUUCCCUGGGUCUGAGCUCCUUGAAGCAUGUCAAGCCCUGAACCUUAACAAGGCAAUUCUACCAACAAGGAAUUUGUUUUUCUGCCCCAUGGGCAUCACUUAGAUCUUGUUUGUGAGUUGUUGUCUAUUUAAUGGACCAUAUCUCCCAGUUGAUUUGGCUUGAACAUACAUAAAGAUCAAACAUGAAUACAAGCGGCAUCCUUCCUUAAGAAAUCUUUUACAUAUUCUGCAUUUUGCAUCACAUAUAACUCCAUUCUUAAAUUAGCUUAAUUAAGGAGGAAGAUAAUGACAAUUUUCUAAGGGCAUACUGCUUCAAGUAAUUUUUAGUUUCCAUGGACUGUCUUUGAGAAUCUCAGGUCACCUUUUUUAGCUGUGUGUAGGCUGAACAGAGCAAAAAUUUUGUGUUGUUUUGUAGCAGAGGAGCCACAAUGUGUGGAAGGGUCCACUCUUAGAAUUUGGGAAAGUAGCUUGUUUAUGCUUGUUUUUAAACCAGCUGAAUAGAGUCCAUUUCAAAUAGGAAGCAUUGCUGACUAUUUAUAUAACUCAUUUCAAGGGUAGCUCCAGGGAGAGAGAGAAUAAGAGAUCUAAUUUCUGAAAAUUAAAUUACAGUGUAUGGACAGGAAAGAAGAAAUGUUACACUGAACAGCCAGGAGCAGGUGGAUGGCUCCGGUAAUGGAACAGGAGCUCAUGAUGCACCUGUGGCUGACCCAGCCCCUGCAGAACAGGGAGCAGCAGAGGAGGACACUGCACAUUCAGAUUCUGUUUCCUCCAGUGCACAGCAAGGAGUUGUCAUUAGGUGUCCAAUUUGCAUGGAAUUUUACUCCGAGAUUCUACAACAUGGACAACAGCUUGUGGUGACCCUGUGUGGCCAUGUCUUCUGCAGUAGAUGCCUCCCUAUUGCCCUGGAGACUACUCACAGGUGCCCAACCUGCAGGGUGGAACUUACUCCAGAUCUGUAUAUUCCCAUUUAUAUAUGAGUGCUUCUGCUUCUCAGGACACACUCAGAUGGAUCUUGGACAAUAGUCUUUAUGUAUAUAGUUCUUCCUGUUUCUUUAUGUAUAUAGUUCUUCCUGCACAUAGUUUCAUUUUUUGCUGAAUUCAAUUUAAAUAAAGUUUUGAAUAGUUGAAA